ACUUGAUGAAGAAGACGCGGCCGUCCCGGCACACGCCGUACGACCAGUGCUCAGCCAGGUAACACCGUGAGCAGGUUACUGCCGGAUCCCGGAACCGCUUCCUCAGGGAAAAGACAGUGAAACACACCUGCGGUUCCCAGAGGCUGAGGCUGGAGGAUGCCCGCAAGUUCUGUGCCAACCAGGGCUGCACAGUUCCAAGCUAGCCUGGGCUACAGUGUGAGACUCUGUCGCACAAUUAUUGUAAGCACCAACGAGCAUCAAGCACCAGAGACCUGGGGAAUGAAGCUCACCUGCACAGCUCCCAGCACAGGUGACCAGACCAGUGAUUCAGUGACCCAGCCAGCCUACCUGAGCCCACAGUGCAACAAAGAAGGACACAAGCAGGAGCGCAGCAUAACUGAGACCAAAACAAUCCCCAAAGGUAACUGGGAUCACACCAGGUCAGUACUCGCCAAAUAAGCCUGAUACAGGCUUGAAUCGGAAGUGCUAAUUGUACCUUCCAUGUCAGGAUAAGUUAUACGUUAAAUCUGAUGGAUGGUCGGAUUUGCCAUUCUUAAAUAAGCUAUCUCUGGGGCUUGUCAUUUGUUGCUUCCUG